AACUAGCCCUGAUAGUAGUGUAAAUCCUUUUUGUUCUCGACUUCGCUCGAACUGACAAAAAGAUUGAAACGGAUAGCGGGAAAUAGC
rnacentral:sRNA from 2 species